AUGAGAGUGUAUAUUCAAGGCAACUUGAAUCUAUGCUCCCAGGAAAUAUUUUAAAUAAGUGAAAAAAAAAAAACACGAAUAGCAAUAACCCAGCUUGGGACAACAAAUGAUCAAUCCUCAUGUCCCCAAGUUCCACAGUCACUCUUCCUUUUUUCUGAGAGUCUUGUUCUGUCACCCAAGCUUGCUGCAACCUCUGCUUUACAAGGCUCAAGUGAUCCUCCCACCUCAGCCUAACAAGCUGGGACUACAGGUGUGCACCACCAUAGCUGGCUAAUUUAUUUUAUUUUAUUUUGUAGAAACGGGUUCUCGCUAUGUUGCCCAGGCUGGCCACUCUUCCCUUUAAUGCCCAAAUAACAACCCCUGAGCACUCACCCUGCAGAAUGUCCCCUCCCAUAAAAUAGUGGCUCCCAUCUAUCAAUCAAAUGCUCGUGAUGGGAGUGCUGGGCACCAAGUGCUUCCCUUACUUUAUUUCAUUUGAUCCUCAUUAUGAGGGAGAUGUGAUAAUUUCACACACAAGAAAAUUGAGGAUUGGAAAUUAAAUGACUUGCCCGAGGACCCAGCUAAGAGGCAGAGCAGGACUCAAAUUGAGAUCUCUAUGUUUCUGAAACUCACACUUCACCAGUGUGCUGUCCAGCCUCUCUGCUUCUGAAAAUGCCCAAGACCUAGUCACACGUGCCACAGAUCUGUCUGGUGACCACCCUUCCCCUCAGCCAGCCAGGUGAUCAUAAAGGUCCCAUAACAUUGGGGUCUGGUGUCAAUUGGAGGACACAGUAGGAAAGUUCUAUUUCCCAGCUGGCAAGCUGUAAAAAACAAGAUGGGGAAUUUGGGGAGUUUCCUGCAGACAUUCUCAGAAGGUAGAGCAUUCCCAUCCCCUGUGCUGCAUACACAGCGCACUAAUGACGUGUUGAGGUCUUAGAGGAGAUUCCUCUUCCCAUAGGGGACAGUUUAGAUGAUCUCACAUGUCCCCUUUGGGUCAGAGACUCAGAUUCUCAAUUGUUGAUGCAGACAUCAAAAUCCCUGAGCAUUUUUUGCAUUUUACCCACUUAUGUAUCAUGUUUUCCAUGAUUAUUUCAGAGACAGGCCCCCACAGAGAAAAGACUGGUUUCCUACAUAUGUUAAAUAAUUCAACCAGUUAGCACCUUGGUUAACACAUGGAUUUAAUUCACUCACUCACCCCGUAAUGAAAGGCCACAAAGAACACGCCGACCCAUGAUUGGUCAUUUGUUCAUUGGCCGUGGUAGGCACAAGGUCUUGAGUUCCUUCUUUAACCAGGCAGAGCUAGACAGACCCGAGAUCAUAUCCCAGCCCUAAUGCUGACCUGCCAUGUGACCUUGGGCAAGUUGCUUCACUAUUCUGACAUUUCAACUGUCAAACAGAGCGAUAGUGAGCAUUAAAGGAGAGAGUGUUGGCCGGGCAUGGUGGCUCAUACCUGUAUUCCCAGUACUUUGGGAGGCUGAGACUGGCGGAUCAUUUGAGGCCAGGAGUUUGAGACCAGCCUGGCCAACAUGGCGAAACCCCAUCUAUUCUAAAAAUACAAAAAAUGAAUAAAUAAUUAGCCAGGCGUGGUGGCAAGUGCCUGUAUUCCAGCUACUUGGGAGGCUGAGACACGAGAAUCAC
rnacentral:lncRNA from 10 species